rnacentral:misc_RNA from 1 species
AAAAAGAAAAAAAAAAGGAGUUCUGCAAGUCAAAUAGUGUUUUUUUCCUUCAAAAGUUUAUUCUGAUAAUUAGAAGGAUAUGCUCAUAAAUCUGAUGUUUCUUGAAAAUUGAAACACGAUUAACUUAUUGAUGAUUUGGUCAAUGAAUAUGGUAGAUUCUUAAUCUGGCUUGUGGUUAUAUUCCUAAGAUUCCAAAAAUGCUAGCGGGUUUGAUUUAGUAUCUAGGCAACGAAGUUUUUUUUUUCUUA